GACGAACGCUGGCGGCGUGCUUAACACAUGCAAGUCGAACGGAAAGGCCCUGCUUUUGUGGGGUGCUCGAGUGGCGAACGGGUGAGUAACACGUGAGUAACCUGCCCUUGACUUUGGGAUAACUUCAGGAAACUGGGGCUAAUACCGGAUAGGAGCUCCUGCUGCAUGGUGGGGGUUGGAAAGUUUCGGCGGUUGGGGAUGGACUCGCGGCUUAUCAGCUUGUUGGUGGGGUAGUGGCUUACCAAGGCUUUGACGGGUAGCCGGCCUGAGAGGGUGACCGGCCACAUUGGGACUGAGAUACGGCCCAGACUCAUACGGGAGGCAGCAGUGGGGAAUAUUGCACAAUGGGCGGAAGCCUGAUGCAGCAACGCCGCGUGCGGGAUGACGGCCUUCGGGUUGUAAACAGCUUUCGCCUGUGACGAAGCGUGAGUGACGGUAAUGGGGAAAGAAGCACCGGCUAACUACGU
rnacentral:rRNA from 1 species